rnacentral:rRNA from 1 species
AACUGCGGCCAUACCAACUGGAGAAUCUUGUCUGAUCUCGUAAUCUAAUCAGGUUGGGCCUGGUUAUUACUUAGUGGGCUACCGCUUCCAAUACCAAGUGUCGUAUUCG